CUUAUAUAUGGAUAUUUUUGCUAAGUAAUUUUCACAUAGGGGACCAUGCCAUUCUUAGUUGCUAACGAUAUAUUGAAUCCCAGUAGGAUUAAAGACGAAAGACUUUGACAUUCAAAGUAAACCACACAUUAUGGAUCUGAGAAUUUCCCUUUAGCUCUUCAGUUUGUGCAGAUGCAUUCCACUUCCAAAUCCCUUUAAGCCAUUACCAUUCUCAUCUCUCAGCCUUCUUUUUUCUGUAACUGGUUUAGUUACUGUCUGUUGCAUGCAUGCUAGAUAUGGAUGCAGCUGCGAGCAUUGUUUUAUCCCCGGCUUUGCAAGUGCUCUUCGACAGAUUGGCGUCACCGCUCCUACAAAAGGCUUCUGAUCUCUUUGGUUACAACGACAACUUCCAGAGCCUGCAGCAUGCAUUGGUGCGAGCUCAAGCUACUCUUGAAGUUGCAGAAGAACAACAGUUCACAAACAGAGCUGCCAGACUUUGGUUGUUGGACCUCAAGAACGCAGUUUGCCAUACUCAGGACCUUCUUGACUUCUUUACUGCUCGGAAAAACUGGAAUCAUAUUUUUCGUCUUUCAAUAUCAGAUGAUGGAAUUAUAAAACCUGAAAAACUCAGGAUUAUGCUCCAGGAGUUGGAAAUGACUAUAACCGAGGGAUUUCGCAUGUUCAAUAUCAGAGAGCCUACCCAGCUGCUGCCUGGUAUCGUGGAUCAAGGGUCUGCGAAAAGGGAGACCAGCUCUUUUGUUAAGGACACAGAAAUACAUGGGAGGAAAGAAGAAAAGGAGAAGUUAAUCAAGCUGUUAAUAUCUUCUGAUGCUAACCAGGUUGAAGGAGGAUAUGCAGCUUGCAUUCCAAUAAUUGGUCAUGGAGGAAUUGGUAAGACGACUCUUGCUCAAUUGGCAUAUAAUGAUAAUAGGGUAAAGCAACACUUUGAUGUUAGGAUGUGGAUUUUUGUUUCUGAUGACUUCAAUAUCACCAAGAUCAUGAAAGGAAUUAUUGAGUCGGUAACAAAGAGUAAGUGCAAGAUUACCGGGAUUGACGAACUCCAGACUCGGAUUUGGCAUUUGCUGCACGAUAAAAGAUUUCUCCUCGUGUUAGAUGAUGUAUGGACUGAAGAUCUGGAUGAUUGGGAAAAGCUAACACCUUUGUUUAGAGAGGGAGUUGAUGGAUGUAAGAUUGUUGUUACCACACGCAGCAGAAAGAUCCCGUUGAUGAUGGACAGCUCAAUUCCGUAUCAGUUGGAUGGUUUAACGUUUGAUGAUUGCUUGUCUUUGUUUAAUCAAAGGGCUUUUGGAAGAGGAGGAGAAGAAAAGUAUCCACACCUUGUUCUGAUUGGGAAGCAGAUUGUCAAAAAAUGUGGAGGUUUUCCUCUAGCGGUAAAAAGCUUGGGAAGUGUAAUGCGCUUUAAAAGAGAGGAAGGACAUUGGUUGUUUAUGCAGAACAGUGAACUUUGGCAAUUAGAUGUAUGCCAACAAAAAGUUUUACCUGCGUUGAUGUUGAGUUAUCAUCGUCUUCCGUCAUAUCUUCGACAAUGCUUUGCCUUCUGCUCAUUAUUUCCCAAAAAUUAUGAAUUCAAGAAGCAAAAGCUAAUUCAUCAAUGGAUGGCAGAAGGCUUCGUUCUAGGACAAGGGAGCAAGCGACUAGAAGACAUUGGUGAUGAAUACUUUUCCGAUUUACUGUGGAUGGCUUUCUUUCAAGAAGUAGAGGUUUCUGAAAAUGAUGAUGUAGUCGGAUAUAGAAUGAACAAUGUGAUUCAUGAUCUUGCACGAUAUGUUGCAGGAGAAGAGUCUUUGAUACUCGAAGCAGGUCUUCCACCAUAUAUUAAUCCAUCACAAAUUCGACACUCGUCUAUUGUUUAUACAAACAGAGAUGGAGAAAUCACAAUCCCAUUGGAAGCUCUAUAUGCAGCGGAACAUUUACGAACUCUAUUAUUCUUAGGAGAUUCUGGCUUGUCAAGCAACAUGGAGAAGAUGUUUUCAAGGUUUGUAUAUUUGCGUUUGCUAGAUCUUAGUGGCUGUGGUGUUUCUAGUUUCCCGGAUGCAUUGGGUGGCUUGAUAUGUUUGAGGUAUCUUGACCUCUCUUACACGCCUAUUGAAAACCUUCCUCUUAGGGUAUGUGGGCUUGUAUCAUUGCAGACUUUAAACCUAAUUGGUUGCUGUAAUCUUCAUUUUUUGCCUUCCUUGGAAAGGAUGACCUGCCUAAGACAUCUCAAUCUAACUGGAUGUGAACAAUUAUUUCAAAUGCCUGCUGGUAUUGAAAGUUUACAUCAACUUCAGACAUUGCCAUUAUAUGUCGCUGGGAGAGAUAAUCGCCUUAGUGAGCUGAAACAAUUAAAUCUUCAUGACAAGUUGAAUCUAACACACUUAGAGAAAGUACGGCACGCAGCGGAAGCAAAAACAGCUGGGCUGAUGAUGAAGAAAAAUCUCGAUUCAUUGGGAUUAUACUGGGGACUGUAUCAGCCGAGAUCGGAAGAUGUGGACAUAUCACUGGGGAUAGUACCUAAACGCGGAAAGGUAUUUGGCAUACGGGAACAACUUGCACCCUCUGCAGCACAGCAGUAUAAACAUGCCGAAGAAAUUCUCGACAGUUUACAACCACCGAAAAAUAUGAAAAAGCUAUUCAUAAAUGGCUAUCCAGGAUUUAGAUUUGCUGCUUGGGCUCUCCCGGAAUAUGUAGUUGCAGUUGAAAUUGCGAAUUGCCAAAAUUGUGGACAUCUUCCAGCCCUUGGGAAUCUGCUGCUGCUUAAGACUCUUUCUCUGCAUGGGAUGCAUGGCGUAAGGCGCAUUGGUACAGAGUUCUACGGUGACGGUGCAGACAUAAGAUUUCCAUCACUUGAAAAACUAUCACUCAGUGAUUUUCCCAACUUGGAAGAGUGGACAAGUGCAAAUAGCGAAAAUUCGUUCCCAAGCCUGAAGAAAUUAACCGUCAAAAGAUGUCCCAAGCUAGCACAUAUCCCAUCUCCUCAAUCCCUUCAACAUCUAAAGCUGCAAGACUGUAAUCCAAUGCUGACGUCCGUAGCAAAUUUAGGUCUGCUUUCUGUGCUUGUUCUAGAGAACAUUCCAGGCCUACUCACUCUCCCAGAAGGGCUCACUGCAUCAGCUUGUCUGUCUUCUUUGAAGAUCUUGUCGUGCCCCAAACUUCGUUCACUUCCUUUGCAGAUCCGAAACCUUACUGCUCUGAAAUCAUUGACCAUUCGAUGUUGCGAAGAGCUCUCCUCUCUGCCUCAGACUUUACAAAACCUCAAAGCGCUGGAGUCACUAGAGAUUAGUAACUGUCACAGUAUAAUAUCCAUGCCGGAUGGUUGGAUUGGAGGUUUGAGUUCCCUUCGAACAUUGUCCAUUGAAAACUGCAGUAACCUAACUUCUCUGUCGUCGAGUUUGGAACGGCUCACGUUGCUUGAGCACUUGACGAUUAUGUUCUGUCCAAAUCUUGGUUCUUUUCCAGAAGGUGUUCAACACCUCUCCUCCCUUCGAAGUUUGAUCCUAUUGAGCUGUCCUUGGUUUGAUUCUCUGCCAGAAGGGUUACAACAUGUGAGAACACUGCACUGUCUCAAAAUUGGUAGCUGCCUCAAUCUAACAGCUUUGCCAGAAUGGUUUGAGGGUCUUGAUUCUCUUAGGUCCUUGACGAUAUUUGAUUGCCCCGGUUUACAACAAUUGCCACCAGGUUUCAAGAUUCUCACUAAACUCCAACACCUCUCUAUUCAAGAAUGCCCGGAGCUUGAGGAAAGAUGUAGACAAGGUAAUGGUGAGGAUUGGUUGAAGAUAGCCCACGUCCCGCAUAAGUACAUCGGACCACCUCAGGCCAGGCAGUCCGGUGAAGCGAGCACAUCUGGCAGCUGAUCUCUUCUUUCAAACAUAUUCUCACAUGUUUGUAUACACGGUGAAGAGGCUGCACGUAUUGAAGAGCUCACAGCUAUCCACUAUACAACGUGUGUGAAGCGUACUGUUGAUCUCAUAAACUUUUUAGCUUGAAGAUUGCUAUCCAGACUCGCUUUGAGCAACUCUAUGCAACAUAUGACUCACAAAGUCACAAUGAUUUGGCGAAAUGACAAGUGAUAUUAAGCCGGGGACAAAACAAUGCCUGCAGCUGCUUCCAUAUCUAGCAGCAGACAGUACAUUAAAAACCAGUUAAAGAAAAACAAGGCUCAGAGAUAUGCAGAUUGUAAUGGCCUAACCCUAAUGAGAUUUGGAAAUGGAAUCGAUCUACACAAGUUCAAUUUAGUUGAAGGGUAGCCAGAGGGAAAUUGUCAGAUCAAUUGAAGAAAGCUGAUGUUUCACCAUAAAACCAAUUGGCAAUACGAAGAGUAGCCCAAUUUACUUAUAAGCUCAUGUAUGGUUUCUCCUCUCAUCAAUGUAGGAUUGAUUCUCAACAUCCAACAAUCACAAUGUAGGUUUGAAUCAAUGUCAAGGUCUUUCAUCUUUA